rnacentral:sRNA from 10 species
CAAGUUGGAAUGGUGUUUAAAUAUUCCCAACAGGACAAGGGAGAACUUACCCUUACAGAAUAUGAUGGUAAAUGUAUCUGCAUCAUAAUUCUGACCCUAGUU